rnacentral:rRNA from 1 species
AAUGAACGCUGGCGGCAGGCCUAACACAUGCAAGUCGAACGGGAUCUUCGGAUCUAGUGGCGGACGGGUGAGUAACGCGUGGGAACGUGCCCUUUGCUUCGGAAUAGCCCCGGGAAACUGGGAGUAAUACCGGAUGUGCCCUUUGGGGGAAAGAUUUAUCGGCAAAGGAUCGGCCCGCGUUGGAUUAGGUAGUUGGUGGGGUAAUGGCCUACCAAGCCGACGAUCCAUAGCUGGUUUGAGAGGAUGAUCAACCACACUGGGACUGAGACACGGCCCAGACUCCUACGGGAGGCAGCAGUGGGGAAUCUUAGACAAUGGGGGCAACCCUGAUCUAGCCAUGCCGCGUGAUCGAUGAAGGCCUUAGGGUUGUAAAGCUCUUUCGCACGCGACGAUGAUGACGGUAGCGUGAGAAGAAGCCCCGGCUAACUUCGUGCCAGCCGCCGCGGUAAAAC